rnacentral:misc_RNA from 1 species
GCAAACUUGGUCAUUUAGAGGAAGUAAAAGUCGUAACAAGGUUUCCGUAGGUGAACCUGCGGAAGGAUCAUUAAUGAACAAUGCAUCUUGGCCCCUGGGGAGUUGUGCUGGCACACAUGCUGUGCAUGUGCACACCCUCCUUGGGCUGCAUUUCUUCAUCACACCUGUGCACAGUGCUUGUUGGAUGGCCAGGUCUUUGUUGACCCGUCUGACACCUUCACAUCUGCCAUUGAGCGUUUUGUUGAAUGCAUUGCCGCGCAUGCGCAACUUAAAUACAACUUUUAACAACGGAUCUCUUGGUUCUCGCAUCGAUGAAGAACGCAGC